rnacentral:rRNA from 1 species
AACGUAGGAGACGAGCGUUAUCCGGAGUUACUGGGCGUAAAGGGCGUGCAGGCGGUUAGUUAAGUCAGAUGUGAAAGCUCCCGGCUAAACCGGGAGAGGUCGUCUGAUACUGGCUGACUCGAGGACGGUAGAGGCGUGUGGAAUUCCGGGUGUAGUGGUGAAAUGCGUAGAUAUCCGGAGGAACACCAGAGGCGAAGGCGACACGCUGGGCCGUACCUGACGCUAAGACGCGAGAGCAUGGGGAGCAAACGGG